UACGGAGGGGGCUAGCGUUGUCCGGAAUUAUUGGGCGUAAAGAGCUCGUAGGCGGUUUGUCGCGUCGAAUGUGAAAACCCGGGGCUCAACCCCGGGCCUGCAGUCGAUACGGGCAGACUAGAGUGCGGUAGGGGAGACUGGAAUUCCUGGUGUAGCGGUGAAAUGCGCAGAUAUCAGGAGGAACACCGGUGGCGAAGGCGGGUCUCUGGGCCGUAACUGACGCUGAGGAGCGAAAGCGUGGGGAGCGAACAGG
rnacentral:rRNA from 1 species